rnacentral:lncRNA from 1 species
CUGGCGCUGCCCGGUGCCCGGUGCGUGCGUGCAUGAACACAAGAGAACAAAAAGAGAUCGUCUCCACAAGGGAGAGAAACAAAGGGAAAAGGGCGAAAAGGAAAUCGUGAUCUUGUCGCACUUGCCACCCAUUUCCGCGAUGUCGUGGUAUGAUCUACUAACAUCGGAUCCGGUGGUGAUACUUUGCGGAUGUAAAGAGAGCUUCGCCGUGGCCGAAUCAAGAAGAAAUUUCCGGCUUUUGUGCAGUAGCAAAAUACAUG